rnacentral:rRNA from 1 species
GACGAACGCUGGCGGCGUGCUUAACACAUGCAAGUCGAGCGGAAAGGCCCUGCUUUUGUGGGGUGCUCGAGUGGCGAACGGGUGAGUAACACGUGAGUAACCUGCCCUUGACUUUGGGAUAACUUCAGGAAACUGGGGCUAAUACCGGAUAGGAGCUCCUGCUGCAUGGUGGGGGUUGGAAAGUUUCGGCGGUUGGGGAUGGACUGGAGGCUUAUCAGCUUGUUGGUGGGGUAGUGGCUUACCAAGGCUUUGACGGGUAGCCGGCCUGGGAGGGUGACCGGCCACAUUGGGACUGAGAUACGGCCCAGACUCCUACGGGAGGCAGCAGUGGGGAAUAUUGCACAAUGGGCGGAAGCCUGAGGCAGCAACGCCGCGUGCGGGAUGACGGCCUUCGGGUUGUAAACCGCUUUCGCCUGUGACGAAGCGUGAGUGACGGUAAUGGGUAAAGAAGCACCGGCUAACUACGUG